ACGUAGGGAGCAAGCGUUAUCCGGAUUUAUUGGGUGUAAAGGGUGCGUAGACGGGAAAUUAAGUUAGUUGUGAAAGCCCUCGGCUUAACUGAGGAAUUGCAACUAAAACUGGUUUUCUUGAGUGCAGGAGAGGUAAGUGGAAUUCCUAGUGUAGCGGUGAAAUGCGUAGAUAUUAGGAGGAACACCAGUGGCGAAGGCGACUUACUGGACUGUAACUGACGUUGAGGCACGAAAGUGUGGGGAGCAAACAG
rnacentral:rRNA from 1 species